rnacentral:lncRNA from 10 species
GAAGGAGGAAAUAGCCAGUAAGUAAAGAGGCAAGAAAAAAUGUCUCCCCGUGGUUCAAAAGCCAACUAAAGUUUACCAAGAGCUGUGACCUGUGGUUAAAAUGUCCUCAGAGGCCAGCUCUCAUCUGAUUUCAACCUGAAGCCCCAUUUCCUAUCAAGAGAGCCAUUUGGCUCCUCUCUUAAGCUCAGCAGCCCUGAGGUGUGGUAGCCUCACGCUGACCCAUACAGAAUGCAACAGAACUGUCCCUGCUGCAGAAGUCUCAGGGUUCUGCCCCAACUGCAUAGACUUCUUUCAUGGAACCGGCUCCUCUAUCCCCACAAGGCUUCUCCCCAGCACAGCUUCUACCUAGAAUCAGACGGAGAGCUUUAGACCAGAGAGAAAACGGAGGCGUGGUGACACCAAGUGACAUGCUCCAAGCCGCUGAACAUGUUGGUGGCAGAGCUAGAACUCGACACCAAGUCUCCUGGCUUUAGUCCACUGUGGCUCUCAAUCCUCGCACACGCAGAGCACAGACCGUUUUUGGUACACGAGGCUUACCCUGGGAACUGCCCUCCCUCUGUGGCUUGGCGAGGGGGGUCGGGGGAAAGGGUAGGGAGGAUGUGAGGGGUGGGGAGCAGUGCUCUCUCUGCCUGUUUCAGGAAGGCUCUCUGGUUUGGUGAGAGCCCACACUUUGUUAAGUGAGAUAAGGGACACUACAAGAAAAGGAGGGGGUGGGUGGGCAGAGGACAUCACGCUGCUUAUUUUGAACCUGGGAAAACUGUGCCUUAGGAGAGGGAAGUCCUGCAUAUGAUGGUGCUGCAGGGAACAAGGCCCCACCAGUGUGUGCUCUUCCUGUGUGUCCAAAUUUCCACCAAAGAGGGCUCCUCCCAGGAGAUUGGCUGCCGAACCUGUUCUUCCACGGCAGAAGCGGCGCAGCUAGCCCAGCACGACUCUGCUUAUUGUUACGCUUCUGCCACAUGUGUGUAAAUUUGUAAGGAACUUGCC